CAGUAGCCGCGGUAAUACGAAGGGUGCAAGCGUUAAUCGGAAUUACUGGGCGUAAAGCGUGCGUAGGCGGUUUGUUAAGUCUGUUGUGAAAUCCCCGGGCUCAACCUGGGAAUGGCAAUGGAUACUGGCAAGCUAGAGUGUGUCAGAGGAUGGUGGAAUUCCCGGUGUAGCGGUGAAAUGCGUAGAGAUCGGGAGGAACAUCAGUGGCGAAGGCGGCCAUCUGGGACAACACUGACGCUGAGGCACGAAAGCGUGGGGAGCAAGCAGGAUUAGAUACCCCAGUAGUCCCUGUCUCUUAUAC
rnacentral:rRNA from 1 species